GAACUUAAGCAUAUCAAUAAGCGGAGGAAAAGAAACUAACAAGGAUUCCCCUAGUAACUGCGAGUGAAGCGGGAAAAGCUCAAAUUUAAAAUCUGGCGGUCUUUGGCCGUCCGAGUUGUAGUUUAGAGAAGUGUUUUCCGCGCUGGACCGUGUACAAGUCUCCUGGAACGGAGCGUCAUAGAGGGUGAGAAUCCCGUCUUUGACACGGACUGCCAGUGCUUUGUGAUGCGCUCUCAAAGAGUCGAGUUGUUUGGGAAUGCAGCUCAAAAUGGGUGGUGAAUUCCAUCUAAAGCUAAAUAUUGGCGAGAGACCGAUAGCGAACAAGUACCGUGAGGGAAAGAUGAAAAGCACUUUGGAAAGAGAGUUAAACAGUACGUGAAAUUGUUGAAAGGGAAACGCUUGAAGUCAGUCGCGUCUGUCAAGACUCAGCCUUGCCUUUGGCGUGGUGUAUUUCUUGAUAGACGGGCCAGCAUCACUUUUGAUCGCCGGAAAAGGGUGGGGGAAAGGUGGCACCUUCGGGUGUGUUAUAGUCCCCUGUCGUAUACGGUGGUUGGGAGUGAGGAACUCAGCACGCCUUUUUGGUCGGGGCUUCGGCCUACGUUCGUGCUUAGGAUGCUGGCGUAAUGGCUUUAAACGACCCGUCUUGAAACACGGACCAAGGAGUCUAACAUGCCCGCGAGUGUUUGGGUGGAAAACCCAUGCGCGUAAUGAAAGUGAAAGUUGGGACCUCUGUCGUGGAGGGCACCGACGCCCGGACCAGAACUUCUGUGACGGAUCUGCGGUAGAGCGUGUAUGUUGGGACCCGAAAGAUGGUGAACUAUGCCUGAAUAGGGUGAAGCCAGAGGAAACUCUGGUGGAGGCUCGUAGCGAUUCUGACGUGCAAAUCGAUCGUCAAAUUUGGGUAUAGGGGCGAAAGACUAAUCGAACC
rnacentral:rRNA from 1 species